UUUCCUUUACUGUGCAAAAGCUUUUAAGUGGAGGAGACCUUCAAAAUGGUCAAUGAGUAAGACGUGGAGAUCACCUUCCUCCCCACAAAUACAUCAGAAAUACGUCUACAUGUUGAACAACUCUUACAGAACACCUACUGAACGCUCGCAGAAUACCUCAGACUUCACAAAAGACAAGAAACUCCCCACGUACCUGGGUAGGGCAAAAACAAAAAGAAAAAACGGCGCAAAAGAAUAGGGACGGGACCUGUUUCUC